UUUAUUAAAAAUCCUUUUUUGUGUAACUAAUCCCCCAACACUGAACCACAUGCUUUACUCAUCUGUUACUUCACUUGUUGCAUACAGAGAUGGUGAAUUUUCUACUGAAUUGUUUAUAUUUCUAAAUGCAUAUCUGACAUUUAUAGCCUUUUAUGUAUGUUACAUAUUUUGCUAUGAUACAUUGAAGUGAUGUUUUUCAUUCUGACAAGUUUACUGUUUUGUACUGCCGAAAUCAGGGAUUUUUAAAAAUAAAUGAUUCUGUUACGCCUUUGCAUUGGUGAGCAGGAGGCAUAGUUUGUCUUUUGGUGAAAUUAAAAUACCCUGUGUCUACUAUGUGUUUACAGUGGGAUCGUUAAUGCAUGUUAAUUACCCUUCGAUAAAAACACAUUUUCUUUGCAGCGAGGGGACAAACGAUAAUGCUGACUCAAAGAUGUUAAAUGCACCAUUAUUGUUUAUGACUUGACAACUCUGAUACUGAUUGUGCUAAUAAGAUGCCUCCUUUGCCAUCAGAGGUAUUUGUGUAUGAAUAUCAGCAGCCUCCUCCCCAUUUAUGUUCUACCUGCUCGCAACCACUUGAUGUAAACCUUAUCCUUUCCUCUGUGCUCCCAGGAAAAUGUAAAUACAAACACAGCAUUGUCUCUUACACCUUUUCUUACAUUAUGAUGGUAAUAAUAAUGAGUCUAUGACUGCAAUAGCCACAAAGGUGUGAUGACACAGUCCAAUAGGCUGCAACAAAAUAUUUUCAGCUCACUUAAAACAUUUAGAUGUUGCAUCUAAGCAUACAUGCAGAGUGCAGGGCUGAUCACCUGGCCCUGGAACAUCCAGAAGUAGGGUGUGACAGUUACUAGAUAUGCUCUGAAAUUGUUUCAGCCGUAUAGGAUGUUUUCAUUGUAGGCAAGACACCUUGGCAAGUUGUUCCCUGUUUACUCCCCUGAUACCUGCGCCAAUCAGGUCUCAAGAGGGGAAAUGUUAUAACUAUAUCGGCUUAAGAGUCAAGACAGGCCUGUGGCAUCAGUGGCUGAUCAGGGCUGUGCGGGAUGGGUUUGCUGACAACCUUGAGAAGUGUUUUGAAAAGAAGGAGGAUGUUGACAUUCUUAUCAAGAACUGAAGAAGCCAGGCACAUACACUGGAGGGAUGAGUCACACUGGAGGGAUGAGUCAUGGUACCUAUUGAGUUCCUGGGGUCAGAAGGCCCCUCCCCCAGCCUAAGGGGAGGAACUACUGGACACAUUGCUCAAAUACAUUCAGGGGAUAACAAAUGAUAAAACAGGGAUGGGAGUGAGGGUCACAGGGCCACAAGCAGGGAGUCAUGGGGGGUGGGUGAGUCAUGGCAGCUGCAUGAGCAGUCCUGGUCUGACUUCAGGGUUGCCUCACAGAAGGGGACCCCAAUCAGGCACAACAAAUGGAAGCCCCCAAUAAUCAGAAGGUGCUUUUAAAUCUUUAGGCCUUAGUGCCAUGUGGUCGAGGGUAGGUCUGCACAGCAUCUGCGAGGGUUCUUCCCUGCAUGGUUAGAGGUACACGUACUACCUCUGCUUGAGCCAGCAUACUAAAAAUAGAAGUGCAGCAGCGGCUUACACUGGCUGCCUAAGUACGUACCCAGGUGGCUGAAUGGCAGGAUUGUACUCUGAUUGCUAGCUUGAGCUGCCACCCGUGAUCCCACAGCCACACUGCUGCUUUUAACAUGCUAACUCGAGCAGAGCUAGUGCGGGUAUUUCUACCCGGCCUGGGAAGAUCCCACACAGCUAUUGCAUAAACGUAUUCUUGGUAGCUAGCACCCUAUACUGGGAUUCGGGUGAUCAGGGUUCUGUCCCUGGCUCUGUCACUGAGCUGCUGUUGGGCCAGUCAUAACCUUCCCUGUGCCUCAGUUUCCCCAUUUGUAAAAUAGGGAUAAUGAUGCUAAAUCCCCAAUGCUUAGCCUGGGUUAGCCCUAACGGCUACAUAGACCUUGCUUAUUACAGAAGCUUUUAUAACUUUCUCAAACUUAAGAUUGUACCUCAUUUGUGUGUGUCUGUUCACCUGUUUAACUUUGUGAAUAGCUCUCAUUUUCUUCUCCUAUUUAAUAAAUCUUCAUGUAGCUUAUUAUAGGAUUGGCGA
ensembl:lncRNA